UUCUCCAUACAUCGACUGUUAACCUCCCCCCAAAGCAAACUUCUCACUUUCUCAGCGCUUAUUGCCUUUCUUCUCAUUCUCCUCUUUUCUCAGUCUCUCAUGCUCAAUAAUUCAUCGACGCGUUUUCACAACAAUUUUAAGUUUUCCGAAUUCCUUGGCGUUUUCUAGGGUUUUUUACUUUUAUUUUAUUUGAAAUUUGAUUCUGAAAUUUCUCGACAGUUUCGACAUGCUAGGAUUACCAAAAGAGGGGAAUCAUAUAAUGUAGUAUUUAGAUUAUUGAAUUUUGCCCUUUAAUUUGUUCAACUUUUGCAGAUCUCCAACUGCUGCUUCUUGUUUACCAGACGAAAAGACAGUCAAAAGUGUCCCUCGUUCCCGUUCGCCUUCUGUACGUUUUUUUUGAAAGCACGUUUGUUAUCUUAAUCUCGUUUUAUCUUGUCGACUUACAUCUAGAUCUAAUCUUGUUUAAUUUGUUUUUCUAUUAUCUAAUAUAAAUGAAAAGCAUCAAGAAUACAUUGAAAAUAACAAAAGACACCGAGGCCUGUUUGGCCUUGGCCUGAAACUAACAAAAAGAUCCUAGUUUAUUGCUUGUAAUUACUAGUUUGUAGAUAGUAAAUCGUAAUUACUAAUUACUAAUUACAAGAUGAAACAUAUGCAUAAAUUAUGCUGAACUUGAUUCACUGUUUAUUAACUUGCCCAAUCAUUCAUAAUGAUGCAUUGACUUCAAACUCCAGAAGAGCGAUUGGCGUACUCCUGCACCAAUGCGCUGAAGAGAGAAGCCCGUUCUAUC
rnacentral:lncRNA from 1 species